rnacentral:rRNA from 1 species
ACGCAAGUCGAACGGCACCCCUCUCCGGAGGGAAGCGAGUGGCGAACGGCUGAGUAACACGUGGGGAACCUCGCCCCCCUCCCCCGGGAUAGCCGCCCGAAAGGACGGGUAAUACCGGAUACCCCCGGGCGCCGCAUGGCGCCCGGGCUAAAGCCCCGACGGGAGGGGAUGGCUCCGCGGCCCAUCAGGUAGACGGCGGGGUGACGGCCCACCGUGCCGACAACGGGUAGCCGGGUUGAGAGACCGACCGGCCAGAUUGGGACUGAGACACGGCCCAGACUCCUACGGGAGGCAGCAUG